ACCUAAUUGAAAUACUACAUAAAAGUGAGGAUAUAUAAACCUCAGAGGGAUAAAAAUAUCCAAGAUUAGACUGGUUGAAUUCCUAAUAAUAUAAGCACACACAUAUAUAUUAUUAUUAUAAAAACCAAGAGAGAAGAUGGAGAUAAGGUUAAUAAAAAUUUAUUAAUAC